rnacentral:rRNA from 1 species
CUACGGGGGGCUCCAGUUAGGAAUAUUCUACAAUGCGCGAAAGCGUGAUAGAUUGAGUCAGAGUGCGUUUCAAAUUGGAAUGCUUCUGCCAAAUGUAAAAAGUUUGGCGAAUAAGGACUGGGUAAGACGAGUGCCAGCCGCCGCGGUAAUACUCGCGGUCCAAGUCGCAGCCAUUUUUAUUGGGUCUAAAACAUCCGUAGCUUGCUUCUUAAGUUCCUUGUGAAAUUUUAUAUCUUAAAUAUAGAGCGUGCAGGGAGUACUGGGAAGCUAGAGACUGGGAGACGUAAGAAGUACAUUCAAAGUAGCGGUUAAAUGUGUUAAUCUUGGAUGGACUCACAAUAGCGAAGGCAUCUUACGAGAACAGUUCUGACAGUAAGGGAUGAAGGCUAGGGGCGCAAAACGGAUUAGAUACCCUUGUAGUC